UUCGUUUCGGUCCAACUCAAA
ensembl:piRNA 21ur-5286 ncRNA